rnacentral:tRNA from 1 species
GGAAAGAUGCCUGAGUGGUUUAAAGGGAAAGUCUAGAAAGCUUUUAUACAAUUAUUGUAUCGUGGGUUCGAAUCCCUCUCUUUCC